GUGAAUGCAAUCUUUUCUCAGACACAUAUUUUUCUGGACUCUAUUAAGUUAUCCAUAUUGUUGUCUGUCAAUAAGAUGAAGCUAGCUUCAAAAUAGAGCAUAACAAGUGAAAAACCCAGACAGCUGAAUGACUGAACAAGAGCGCAGAGGUGAAAUUGCAGUUGAUUUAAACGAAAUCAAUAGUGAAAAUCUCUGUCCCCAUGGUAUCAACCUGCGCUAUGCUGAUGGGUAGACGGAGAAAGUGUGCAUGGAAUUAAAUAUACUCUCUCCACUGCAUGACUGGUACGAAUGUGUGUCUGGUGACCUGUAAUGGACUGGCUAUCCACCGGGGUGAUUUCUAUGUUUCGGUGUUCCUGGGAUAACUUCUGAAUCUACAGAACCCUGACCACUGGCUACCGAAGAUGAAUGAAUGAAUGACAAUACAUACUAAAUAUUACUUGUAAUAUACUACAUAUGUACUUACCUAAGUAAAUACAUCUUCUAAAAUAAAGUGAUAGCACAGAUUAAGAGUUAGUGUAUUUUACACCAAUUGACCUCUAUUCUUAGUAGUCUGUAGGUCUGUAGAUAGGACAUCAUUGACAUGGUUACAAUACAUCUAUUUCGUAAUUGUUGUUAAAUAA
ensembl:lncRNA